rnacentral:rRNA from 1 species
CAGGGCUUGACAUCCUGCUAACGAGGUAGAGAUACGUCAGGUGCCCUUCGGGGAAAGCAGAGACAGGUGGUGCAUGGUUGUCGUCAGCUCGUGUCGUGAGAUGUUGGGUUAAGUCCCGCAACGAGCGCAACCCUUAUUGUUAGUUGCUACGCAAGAGCACUCUAGCGAGACUGCCGUUGACAAAACGGAGGAAGGUGGGGACGACGUCAAAUCAUCAUGCCCCUUAUGUCCUGGGCUACACACGUAAUACAAUGGCGGUAAACAGAGGGAGGCAAGACCGUGAGGUGGAGCGAACCCCUAAAAGCCGUCCCAGUUCAGAUUGCAGUCUGCAACUCGACUGCAUGAAGUCGGAAUCGCUAGUAAUCGCGGAUCAGCAUGCCGCGGUGAAUACGUUCCGC